UUUUUUGAAGAAAUGGUGCCUUUUUCGUCUCAUUAGAUUGGUUUUGGAUAUGGGAUUUCUUGGAUUUUUUGUUGAUGAUUGACUGUUUGCUGGAUUCACAAUUUGUUGGAAUUUUGAUUGAUUAAAAUAAUGGAUGGAUUUUGGGCAUUUGUUGCUUUUUUUUUUUGUAUUUGUAUUUUAAAUUAUUCUUUUCCUAGUCUUUAUUGAGUAGAUUAUUUAGAUUCAUUUUGUAGGUGAUGAACCUUUUGAGUCAUAUUCGGAUCCGGUUUGCUGUUGAUUGUUAGGUGGGAUCAAAUUUGUUUCUGUUUGGCUGAAAGCCUGGUUAAUUGAUGCAUCAUCUAAAUUUCUUUGCUUGAAUUUAUCUUCUUUUUAUUAUUUGUUUUCUAGGGAAAAAUUGUAGGAUGUUAAUUUACCUAUUUUUUGGGAGCUUUUUCUGGUUUUAUAUAUUGAAUCAGGAGUCUGGUUGGCACGUUACAGUUUUUUAUGGAAUUAUUAGUGUUCUUCUUGAGUGGAAAUGUUGAUGUCAGUCUAUGGUUACAGGGUUUAAUUUAUACAAGAUUGCCUGUCACUGAUUGCUUUUCUUUCAUUGUUUUAUUUUCCUUAGAACUUUGACUAAUUUUGAUUGUUUCAUGGUUAUGUCUAUCUUUCUUUUUUUCCUUGGAAAGUGAUUCUACUUUAACAAAAUUUUAUUAAAAUUGGUAGAAUUUAAAAAUGAAUUCUAUUUGAUAAUAUAUAAAGAUAUCAUUGGCCAUAAGUAAAUAAGAUAUAUGAGAAUUUCAUUCACUAAUAAAUUUUACUAUGAAAUUCUUUUUUAAAUGGAAUGAAUUCCAUGUUCACUCGGUUUCAACAUAAUUCAAGUGUCAACAUUGCUAGGAUUUCUGAGCAUACUUAAGUGAUAAUUGCCUUGUAAAAAUGAUCAAUUUUAAUGGCUGAAAAUAUGUGGAUUUCUAGAGGUGUGCCAAUGCAACUCUGUCAUUUGCUGAACUUUUCCCUCAAUGGUUGGUGCUUUGCUAAGUAUUAAGUUUCAGUUGCUUUUGCCAUAUGUACUUUUUCUCCCUGCAGGUCAAUAUUUCUCUGAUGUAGUUGGGAGUCCUUAUUAUGUUGCACCUGAGGUUUUGCUCAAGCGUUAUGGACCUGAAGUAGAUGUUUGGAGUGCAGGUGUUAUUCUUUACAUCUUGUUAAGUGGAGUUCCACCUUUCUGGGCAGGUUAUGAUCUUUGUUAUUUUCUAUUAUUCUCAUCAGUUAUUCUUAGAAAUAUGCAGCUAUAUUGUUGAUCCUUUGUUCUCUUAUGCUUUUUGUUCAUAUGUAUUUUCUUGUCUCUCUUACUUGCAGAAACUGAACCAGGAAUUUUCAAACAGAUUUUACAAGGCAAAAUAGAUUUUCAAUCUGAGCCAUGGCCUAAGAUCUCUGAUAAUGCUAAAGAUUUGAUACGAAAGAUGCUUGAGAGGGACCCUAGGAGGAGGAUUUCUGCUCAUGAAGUCUUAUGUUAGUUGUUUCAUUCUUAUUAUAAUGGGAACCUAGUCAUGUAGUUGUUAUCAUAGGGACCAUAGCAAUUUGCUAUCAUUGUGAAAAUUCUUGUAAAUUCAUAACAACUCAAUUGGUUUAUGCAUCAGGUAAUCCCUGGAUUGUGGAUGACAGAGUUGCCCCUGACAAACCUCUAGAUUCUGCAGUAUUGUCACGCCUGAAGAAAUUCUCAGCAAUGAAUAAACUUAAAAAGAUGGCUUUGCAUGUAUGUUUUAUCCAUAUUUCCUAUUAUUAUCUUCUGUAAUUCUGGAAAUUUUGAUAGUAAUAUGAUAUUCAACUUACUGAGCCAGUGUUCAAGAUAGUUGAAUUAUAAAUUGUUUAUGAUGUUGACCUAAUAACAUGAAUUUUGGAAAGUGAACAAUAUUGGCUUCCUAAGUGAAGUCUUACUGGCAGAUAGUACAGAAAAAAUUUGGUCAGUAGUUUUUUUAUUUUGAUUCAAGGAAUCAAAUUCCGAAUGGCUGUGACGUUAGUUUGUGAUCCUGCAAUCAUUAGCUUUUGAAGCCACCCCAUUUUUUAAGCUUAUUAAUAUUAGGUUAUCCUUUCAUGUGAUUACAUGAAUGACACUAUCUUUAUUUCAAACAAAUCAAAGAUUAAGUAGCUUUCUGUGAUGUUAAGGGAAUGAGUAGAGGAGGAAAGAGAAACUUACUAUCAUUUAAACAUAUUGAACGAAAUUCAGAUCAAUAGUUAACAUAAUAUGCAGCAAUUUAUUGUGUUUUAUAUGUAUACGUUUCAUUUGGAAAGAAAGUGCGUAACACCAUCAACUUUACCUGAGUUUGAAUGUACCCUUCAAUUCAAUAAAACUUGUUUAUCAUAAACAAUUAAACCAACUUCUCUCUGUUAUUUCUGAUUACAUGCCUGAAAAGCCGUUGUAUGUUUAUAAAUAGUGUAGUUUCUGUUAUCUAUAAAAUUGUGCAUGCAUUUCUUGCAAUGAUCAAAUCCUUUUGCAGGUCAUAGCAGAAAGACUUUCUGAAGAAGAAAUUGGUGGCUUGAAAGAGUUGUUUAAAAUGCUUGAUACGGAUAAUAGUGGGACAAUAACAUUCGAAGAACUUAAAGUGGGUUUGAAGAGAGUGGGUUCCGAACUGACGGAAUCUGAAAUCAAGGCUCUAAUGGAAGCGGCUGAUAUUGACAAGAAUGGAACAAUAGAAUAUGGAGAAUUUCUUGCUGCGACUUUGCACUUAAAUAAGAUGGAGAGAGAGGAGAAUUUAAUUGCAGCCUUCACCUAUUUUGACAAAGAUGGUAGUGGCUACAUCACAGUUGAUGAGCUUCAACAGGCUUGCAAAGACUUUGGUUUAGAUGAUGUUCAACUGGAUGAAAUGAUCAAAGAAAUUGAUCAGGACAAUGAUGCACGAAUAGAUUAUGCAGAGUUCACUGCAAUGAUGAGAAAGACAGAUGACGAAAUUGGAAGGAUCGGAACUAUGAGAAGCAAUCUAAACUUCAAUCUAGCUGAUGCCUUGGGAGUCAAUGAAUCGGUCAAUGAACCAACCACUGCUACCAACGAAUUGGUCAAUGAACCAACCGCUAGCACUAACUGAAGGUGUUCUUUUGUAUAUUUAAGCAACAUGCAGCAAUGAAGGAAUGAAGGCUACAGCUAAGUUCUUAAAGCUAUCUUUUGCUCAGUCUUGGAAGUAUUCUGUUAUUCUUAGUUUUGAUGAAGAAGUUUUAUAAAAUCUCAUUUAUGCUCUGUAGAGCUGAAAAAUAACAUCUUAGUGGCCCCAGAUGUUCGACAGUUAGAAUUCGUCUAUGCCGUGAGGUUUAACUGCAUGAUCACUAUAACUACGACAGAAGCAGCAAUUCAUCAAAGUAAAUUAAGUGUAGAUGCUAACGUUGUUGAUUUUCUAGCCAUGGGGCCAUUGUUGUAGGUUUAAUGCUUUGAUAUGUACUGGCCAUUGCCACAUUUUGUUCAUAAUAAACAUUUUCUGUUGUAAAGUUUCUAAAGUCUCCAGCAGAACAAAUGAAGGCCAAGAAGCCUUGACCCAGUAAUCUGGAUUUGGAAAAUGGAAACUGUACAAUUUCUUCAGUCCUUAUAGAUGUCGUCACAAACCUUCAUGGGUAUCAUUUCGCAGAUGCCAUGUUCAUUAUAUGAUUUUCCCUUCUUGCUGUAUUGCCAUUGAAAGAGAGGGACAUAGAACCUACAUGCUGCCGUUGUUGCAUGGUGAUUUUAUUGUCACUGACUUUGAGCUAGUAGUCAAUGUGUCAAGUUGUAUCUAGGCCUGGCCAAAGGAGAAUUUGGGUUCAAAAUCAGACCG
rnacentral:misc_RNA from 1 species